CAGGCCAAUAAUCAUUCCUGUGUAUUUGACGUGUGUGCAGAAGAUGUGAAUGUGGGGGCGAGGAUGUUUGUUUUUGCACGAGCGCAUACGUUACACGUGUGCUGAAGCAGGUUCUGUCGUCUGGUUUGGUCGUUCUUCAAAGUGUGUGUGCUGUAUGUACAGGGGUACAGUCGAUCGCAAAGGCAAUGCUGGUAGAUCACACAUAAGUUAACUGUAUAUUCUCAUGCUGCUCCAUGCCUCCAAGAGUAAUUGUGAAACACGUAAGUCUUUUUGAGUUGCUGUGCCUUUCUUCUCAAAGUGUUUUUAUAAAUCUUAUGCCUGCCCGCUGCAGCUUAGUCGUGUAAACUUCCGAAAUUUACCAGAAUGCAAUCGCAUCGCAUUCUUGUAGGCACUGAUCCACGCGCGCGAGCGAAAGAGGGAGAGAGAGCGGCAGCGUUGUGCUGAUUUAUAUGCUUAUUGUAAUUUUCUUUCUAGUUUGUUUCACUAAACUGUAUCUCCGCUAUUUUAAACAGUACUCGACAUGUACUCCAGGGGCCUCGUUUAUCAACACUGCAUAGAAAAUGUUCUAUAUUUUUACCUACGAAUGAAAUUUAGUAUGUGUGUAAGUACAAAAAAAAUCGGGAUUUAUCAAACAUGCGCACGUGAUUCGUACGCACAUCAGUAUGUAAUCCUUGAUGAUAAAUCCCAUUUGUUCUUAAGCACCAUGCUCGUGCACGUUCAUGGUCAUUUGGAUUCCGAAACGCCUCCAAUGAACCAUAUAUGGUGACAAAAUCCUCCCGUUAUAAGUCACGUGGUUGUGCUUUUUCCCUCACCGCAAUAAUGGCAAAGAGAGUGAAAAGGAGAAACUUUACAGACACAGAAAUUGAGUUACUGGUGGAUGAGGUUAAAUCCUAAUUACACGUACUGUUUGGUUCACUUAAUGCGCGAGGAAUGACUAACAAAAGAAAACAAAUCUGCAUGGGAACAUGUUACCAGUGAGUUUAAUUACGUUGGGUACGUAUGAGAACACUCCUAGAAAUAAAAAGUGGUUUGACAUUAAAUUAUCAGCCAAAAAAAAAAACGUGUCACAGCACACCAACGUGAAAUCAGUGCAAAUGGAGGAGGACAGACAAUGACAGAACAGAACUUUCCACCUUGGAGAGCAGCAUAUAACCAGCAUCAACAGCAUAAUCUGAAACCCGCUCCCGGUGGAUGGAUGAUUUGCCAAGUCUUCCAAUAACGCAAGAUAAGCCAUUGCACUGCAUUGUCAGAGCUUCAUUUAUAGUGGUAGACACCAAUUUGACAACAAAUCACAAAUAAAUCAUUAACUUCAACAAUGGUUUGCUGUUACUAUACACAAAUCAUUUUAACACCUGCUUGUGGAUAAUAAAUACACACUUCUUUACACGCUGGGGAUGAUCCUGUGUAGUAUCGCUAUUCUACCACUAGAUGCUCUGCAUACGCAUACUCAGAGGUGUGCGUAUAUUUACACACAUUUCUACGUAUAAGUGCAAUUUGAUAAAUUCCACACUUUGCGUAAAACUGUUCCUCCGUACACUUUACGCACACUUCUGUGCGUACGCACGCUUGAUAAAUGAGGCCCCAGGAUUUUUUUAAAACUCCUUAAAAAAUAGAGUAAUGGUGACAGCCCUAAAUCCAGUGUAGAGAUAUAUGCAGUAUUGUCCAUGCAUUUAAAGUGUUUUUAGCAUGUCGAACUUGACGGCUUUAUAAUUUUAAAAAAGUAGAUCACCACACAAAAAAGUCUGGACACUCCUGUCUUAGAGUAAUUGUGAAACACGUAAGUCUUUUUGUCUUGCUGUACCUUUCUUCUCAAAUGUGUUUUUUCUUUAUGUUUUUGGGCCGUUUUUUGCCUUUAUUAGAUAGAUAGUAUGGUAGGAGAGGACAGGAAAGUAUAGGGUGGAGAGAGGGGUAUGGGAUCGGCAAAGGACCUCGAGCCGGGAUUCGAACUCGGGUCGCCGAAAAUGCGUCUGCACCAUAUGUCGGAGCACUUGCCCACUACACCAUUUGCUUCGACACUCAAAUGUGUUUUUAAUAAAUCUUAUGCCUGCCCAUUGCAGCUUAGUCGUGUAAACUUCCGAAAUUUACCAGGACCCUGUGUGUGUGUGUGUGUGUGUGUGUGUGCGCGCGCAAACGAGGGAGAGAGAGAGAGAGAGGCAGAGUUGUGCUGAUUUAUAUGCUUCUGAUACUAUUGUCAUUUUCUUUCUACGCUUUAUCAUUUUAAAAGUAGAUCCCCACACAAAAAAGUCUGGACACCUCUGCUGCUGUAUGCAAUGAGAGUGAGGGCCGGGUGAUACGAGGGGCAGUUCGGCCAAAUUGUUCAACACAACCAAUUUGAUCACCCACUUAAAAAUGUUUGGAUGAGAUCUAGACCAAGGCGUGUACUAGGACAGAACUAAGUGUUGUGGCCCACAGGUGAUCCUAAAGCAACAAAGAGGAACCUUGGACAGGAAGAAGUGGUGUCCAGAUGUUUAAAAGGCGUGUUGACAUAGUUCGGGACAGGAAACAAAGGCAACAAAGAGGAACCUCUAAAGUUUAAAGGCGCUGCUUGCAGAGACAAGUGUAGGAAACAAAGACAGAAGACCUGACGAGAAUGUGUUAUGAUUAAAAUUUUUUUUGUUAUGUACAUGUACAUUAUUAUUUACAAUAUAUUUCUAAGAUACAUAAAUAUGUGACCUUGUAUAUGAAA